rnacentral:lncRNA from 1 species
UUGGUGCUUGUUGCAUAUUUUUAUUCAUUGCAUUAUGUGUAGAUUUUCGUGUGUAAAAUUUAUUUUUAAAAAUUGAUUUGAGGAAGGAUGUUUGGGAUUUUUAAAAUUUUUUUGAGAAAGGAGACGAUUGAAAAUCGUUAUUUUGGGGAGAUUAGAAUUUUUCAAAGUGUUUUUAACCGGAAUUCAUCUUGAAUUAAAUUCAUAUUAAGUAUCGGUUUUA